AACGAACGCUGGCGGCAUGCCUAACACAUGCAAGUCGAACGGAUCCUUCGGGAUUAGUGGCGCACGGGUGCGUAACGCGUGGGAAUCUGCCUUUAGGUUCGGAAUAACUCCCCGAAAGGGGUGCUAAUACCGGAUGAUGUCGCAAGACCAAAGAUUUAUCGCCUAAAGAUGAGCCCGCGUAAGAUUAGCUAGUUGGUGAGGUAAAGGCUCACCAAGGCGACGAUCUUUAGCUGGUCUGAGAGGAUGAUCAGCCACACUGGGACUGAGACACGGCCCAGACUCCUACGGGAGGCAGCAGUGGGGAAUAUUGGACAAUGGGCGAAAGCCUGAUCCAGCAAUGCCGCGUGAGUGAUGAAGGCCUUAGGGUUGUAAAGCUCUUUUACCCGGGAUGAUAAUGACAGUACCGGGAGAAUAAGCUCCGGCUAACUCCGUGCCAGCCGCCGCUGUAAAAC
rnacentral:rRNA from 1 species